UACGUAGGGUGCAAGCGUUGUCCGGAAUUAUUGGGCGUAAAGAGCUCGUAGGCGGUUUGUCGCGUCUGCUGUGAAAACCCGAGGCUCAACCUCGGGCCUGCAGUGGGUACGGGCAGACUAGAGUGCGGUAGGGGAGAUUGGAAUUCCUGGUGUAGCGGUGGAAUCGCAGAUAUCAGGAGGAACACCAAUGCGAAGGCGAUCUCUGGGCCGUAACUGACGCUGAGGAGCGAAAGCAUGGGGAGCGAACAGG
rnacentral:rRNA from 1 species